ACGAACGCUGGCGGCGUGCUUAACACAUGCAAGUCGAACGAUGAACCGGUUUCGGCCGGGGAUUAGUGGCGAACGGGUGAGUAACACGUGGGCAAUCUGCCCUGCACUCUGGGAUAGCCCGGGGAACUGGGUCUAAUACCGGAUACGACACUCCGAGGCAUCUUGGGGUGUGGAAAGUUCCGGCGGUGCAGGAUGAGCCCGCGGCCUAUCAGCUUGUUGGUGGGGUAAUGGCCUACCAAGGCGACGACGGGUAGCCGGCCUGAGAGGGUGACCGGCCACACUGGGACUGAGACACGGCCCAGACUCCUACGGGAGGCAGCAGUGGGGAAUAUUGCACAAUGGGCGAAAGCCUGAUGCAGCGACGCCGCGUGAGGGAUGACGGCCUUCGGGUUGUAAACCUCUUUCAGCAGGGAAGAAGCGAAAGUGACGGUACCUGCAGAAGAAGCACCGGCUAACUACGUG
rnacentral:rRNA from 1 species